AUAAUACUCCCUCCGUCCGGAAUUACUUGUCAUCAAAAUGGAUGUGUCUAGAACUAAUAUACAUCUAGAUACAUCCAUUUCAAUGACAAGUAUUUUCGAACGAAGGGAGUAGUAG
rnacentral:pre_miRNA from 1 species